UACAGAGGGUGCGAGCGUUAAUCGGAAUUACUGGGCGUAAAGCGCGCGUAGGCGGCUUUUGCAAGUCGGGUGUGAAAUCCCCAGGCUUAACCUGGGAACUGCAUUCGAGACUGCAUUGCUAGAGUAUGGGAGAGGGAAGUGGAAUUUCCGGUGUAGCGGUGAAAUGCGUAGAUAUCUGAAGGAACUCAAGUGGCGAAAGCCGACUUCCUGGACCAAUACUGACGUCAUGUGCGAAAGCGUGGGGGAGCAAACAGG
rnacentral:rRNA from 1 species